rnacentral:pre_miRNA from 7 species
UUCUUUCCAAGAGUGAUACUGUAAGAUCCCAUUUUGGGGACCCCCACUCUAGUCUUGGAAGAGAGAGCACACCAAAGAAACAUGAGAAUCC